GAAAGCAUUUGCCAAGGACGUUUUCAUUAAUCAAGAACGAAAGUUAGGGGAUCGAAGAUGAUCAGAUACCGUCGUAGUCUUAACCAUAAACUAUGCCGACUAGGGAUCGGGUGUUGUCCUUUUUUUGGCGCACUCGGCACCUUACGAGAAAUCAAAGUUUUUGGGUUCUGGGGGGAGUAUGGUCGCAAGGCUGAAACUUAAAGGAAUUGACGGAAGGGCACCACCAGGAGUGGAGCCUGCGGCUUAAUUUGACUCAACACGGGGAAACUCACCAGGUCCAGACACAAUAAGGAUUGACAGAUUGAGAGCUCUUUCUUGAUUUUGUGGGUGGUGGUGCAUGGCCGUUCUUAGUUGGUGGAGUGAUUUGUCUGCUUAAUUGCGAUAACGAACGAGACCUUAACCUACUAAAUAGUGCUGCUAGCUUUUGCUGGUAUAGUCACUUCUUAGAGGGACUACCGAUUUCAAGUCGGUGGAAGUUUGAGGCAAUAACAGGUCUGUGAUGCCCUUAGACGUUCUGGGCCGCACGCGCGCUACACUGACGGAGCCAGCGAGUAUUAACCUUGGCCGAAGGUCUGGGAAAUCUUGUGAAACUCCGUCGUGCUGGGGAUAGAGCAUUGUAAUUAUUGCUCUUCAACGAGGAAUUCCUAG
rnacentral:rRNA from 1 species